AUCGGCUGCACGUGCUGUGCCUUCAGAGAGGUGCCGCCGGCCGGCUGGCCGCCCUCAACUCUUCGGACCAGAGCACCAGCGACGGCAGCUACGUUGACAGCGAGGACAGCACACAGAGGUCACCAGCUGGAGAGAUGCUCAGCGACUAUUUGAGUCCUGCAGGCGAGGACGUCAAGCAUAUGCCACCGCCCGAUGCAACACUGAUGGAUAAUGAGUGGCCGAUACUCAAGCCAUGCGGCACGCUGUCUUAAUAGCACACUGAGCGUUUCACGCUGCCAGGAUUGUUAGUGCGACGACUCCAGCAACCCCGGACUAAUAUUUCAAGAAACACAUCUGCCGGUGCGCACGCCACCGUACCCAUGGGAAAGAGCGCCCACCCGCCGCCACUGCGGAGCACCAUCCCAGCUGACUGCUGGUGGGCUUCAGAGAACAGGGUGAUAGUGUGGCGGAUGUCAGAGAACGGAGUGAUGGUGCGACGGUUCUCAGAGAACGGAGUGAUGGUGCGGCGGUUCUCAGAGAGCGGAGUGAUGGUGUGGCGGUUCUCAGAGAAAGGAGUGAUGGUGUAACUGUUCUCAGAGAACGGAGUGAUGGUGUGACGAUUCUCAGAGAACGGAGUGAUGGUGUGGCGGUUCUCAGAGAACGGAGUGAUGGUGUGGCGGUUCUCAGAAAACGGAGUGAUGGUGUGACUGCUUUCAGA